rnacentral:tRNA from 1 species
GAGCCGGUAGCGGACCGAUCAAACGCAUCUCCGUAUCAAGGAGACUGUUGCGGGUUCGAAUCCCGUCAGGUUGG